UACGGAGGAUGCAAGCGUUAUCCGGAAUAAUUGGGCGUAAAGGGUCCGCAGGUGGCAAUGUAAGUCUGCUGUCAAAGAAUGAGGCUCAACCUCAUCAAGGCAGUGGAAACUACGUAGCUGGAGUACGGUCGGGGUAGAAGGAAUUCCUGGUGUAGCGGUGAAAUGCGUAGAGAUCAGGAAGAACACCGGUGGCGAAAGCGUUCUGCUAGGCCUGUACUGACACUGAGGGACGAAAGCUAGGGGAGCGAAUGGG
rnacentral:rRNA from 1 species